CAUUAAAAUUUUCUCUCCCUCCCAAAUAUUUUCAAUUUGCCUCCAACUUAUAAUUAACCAAAAAAAAUUGAGUAUUUUAAAAAUUUAAAACCCUACGCUAUCAUUUCACAUAGAAAAAGAUGGAGGUGUUGGUGGAGUUUUGGGUGGUGGAGGUAGAGGUUAUAUUGAUAAGUUGAGGUGGGGACUGAGGGCUAUUAGGUAUUAUGGUGAUGUAGUGUGGUAGCAGGGAAGGGCGAGGAACCAGAUGAGUCAAUUUGGUGCUCGUCGGAGAAGCUGGUGGCGGAGUUGCUAUGGCUUGCUUAGAAGAUGGCACCUUGUGGUUGUGUUGAUGAAGCUGUUUAUAUGUAGGCUUCAUCUUCACAUGUGGCUUGGCUUGCUCUUUAUGCUGAACCGCGACUUCAGGGGUCUCUUGUUAAGGUUUCAGGACUGAGAACUGAAUGUGAGAUAAUCGUUAACCGACGACCGUUGAACUUUUUUAUUAACUGAACUUGAUAUGAAAGCAGUUUCUCGCCCAUUAAUUUUGACAGCAUUGGAGUCCAGGCAGGAAAGGCUGCUGGAAUGAAGGGGUUGUCAUGCGUUGCUGAUUGAACCUGUUUCUUUCAGGGGUCUUUACAAAAAUGGCCUACUUCAUCAUGUUGCAGAUGUCGGUCCAUCUACUCUGCCCGAUCAAAUAUUUGGAUUUUAUUUUGGCUAGGCAAAACCUGAGACAUAUAAGUUUAUAAAGAUUGUUCUUGGAAUUGGUUAGGAAGAGGGCAGCUGCAAUUCUAAGAGGAAGAUGGUGAGUAAAGAUUACUGGUUUUCUAUAGCAGAAUAAAAAGUUCUAGUAAUCUUCUUGAGUCAUUUUAAUUUCUUCAUGAAUAAUAUUACUUGUAAUUAGAAUUUCUCUAUUUGCGUAGUCUAAUUCCUAGAGUCUAUACAUGUUGCCAUCAGUUUAAGAUUUUCUUUAAUGAUUUCAGCUGUAAGUUAAAAGUAAGAUUUUCCUUCAUAUCUAGUUACAUCCCGUUUUGACCGUCAUUAGUGUUCCUCAGUGUAUUUAGAAGCUAUUUAAAUAACUUGUUCUGUAAUUCUCGUUCUAAAAAGAAACUUUGUACUUUAAUCUAUUCUCCUAUUCUCUCUAGAAAACUUAAAGUAAUUCACAUUUUAUCUAUAAAUGCUUCUUUGUGCUGAAUGUAACAGUAGGAUUGAUGUUGUGUUUCAAAUAAUUCAUUAUUUUGUAGUGAGUGAUACAACUCUGAAACCAGUUGUAUAUUGACAUGCAUGAAUAAUGUGUUUUCCCUGUGGCAGCUUCAUUGGUCUUGGGUUGUGUUCAUAUAGAUUCAAAUUGAAAAUCAAGCUCAUUGCUAAUCCAUUAUUUUUACCUUUUUGGUUCAAGUACAACAAAAUGGAGACAUGCAUAAAACCUAGCAAUGGCAACGGUGAGAUUUUGUAGAGACUAGUUCUUCUAUAGAAUGCAUUUACUACUGCUUUGGAGUCACUACAACAUUUUUAUCUUUUGACCGCACUAAAUGUGAGCAGUGGUAAAACUCGCCCUGUGGCUUUACUGGAAAAGCUCAGGGAAUGACAUUGUUCGCGCCUAUGCAAAGGUAUGUUUUUAUUAGCCUUUACCAUCUAGCUUCCAUGUCUUCUUUUGAUGAUCGAUUUGCCUAAAUUGUCGAUGUAUUUGUCUGGAUUGCUAUUUUGAUGUGGUUACUAAUGUAGUCGGGUUGUUAUUCUGUUCAUCUUUUUUCUUGCUCAAAACUAAAUCUAAAGUCUAGUGAAGCCGUGUAGGGGUAUUUCAAUUCACUAGCAUUGUUCUUGUUGUGUUCAUCUCUUUUCUUGCUCAAAACUAAAUCUAAAGUCUAGUAAAGCCGUGAGUGGCGUAUUUUGAUUCACUAGCACCUUGUUGUUCAUCUUGUUGCUCUUGUGUUGGCUUGAAUCUCCUGAUACACACUUAGUCUUGUAUCAAUAUGUUAUUAAUUUGUUGAACUUAAUUUGAUAGUUGUAGUAAGUUAGCAAAAACAUCUAGAUGCUCCAUCUUUGUUGUUUGGCUUUCCCUUAAGUAUCCUGAAAUCCAUUCACGCUGUGUAACCAUAAUUGAUCUCACAGAAACACUUUCUUAAUAAGAGUAAAACUUAAUGGCCACCGUUAAGCAAACAACCUUCUAACCUUAUCACCUUAGCCUUAACGGCCACCGUUUAAAUCCUAAUCUAUACAUAAAACUUCGCGGAUACUGUUUAAUAAACAACCUUAUAACCUUAACAGCCACCGUUUAACCUUAUAACCUUAUAUUAGAAACCAACCUUAUAACCUUAACAACCACCGUUUAACCUUAUAACCUUUUAUUAGGAAACAACCUUAUAACCUUAACGACCACCAUUUAACCUUAUAACCUUUUAUUAGGAAACAACCUUAUAACCUUAUAACCUUAACGGCCACCGUUAAGUAAACAACCUUAUAACCUUAGCCUUAACGGUCACCAUUUAAAGCCUAAUCUAUACAUAAAAUUUAACGGCCACCAUUUAAUAAACAACCUUAUAACUUUAAUGGCCACCGUUUAACCUUAUAACCUUAUAUUAGGAAACAACCUUAUAACCUUAUAACCUUAGCCUUAACGGCCACCGUUUAAAGCCUAAUAUAUACAUAAAGCUUAAUGGACACCAUUUAAAUCCUAAUCUAUACAUAAAAAUUGAUUCUAGCUUAUGCUCUACUGCUAAAAAAAUUAACUGUCACCUGUCUGUAAUUCCCUUGUAUCUGAAACUGAAGAUGCUUCAAUUUCUUUCUCUUUUUCAUCUAAUAGUGACUAUAUUUGUGUUGUAUCAUCGUACAGUCUUGGUAUAUAAAGUCAUAAAACAUGUUUCAAGUUGUGUCUUAAAGAGGUAAUUCAAUUAUUUAUAAUGUCUGUUACCUACUUGACUUUUCCAAGAUCAGGCUAAAAGAUUAAAAGUAAAGGUAUGAGAUCAAAGAUUUGUUCUACUUCUUUGUUUAUUGCCACCUUUUUUCUAAAUUUGUCGUCAUGAAAAUAUGACGCGAUGAAAGUUGAAAAUUAAUUUAAUUAUCUACUAGGCAACGCAAAGUUUUUGACGAUUAAAGUUGUCCAUAGGCCAUUGUCAUUUGCGUGCUUUAUUCUUCACCUGCUACAUACUUUUAUUUCUCCUCUUAUUCUUCUGUAUGCGUAAAAGGAAUUCUUGUUGUCAGUUCAAUCAGUUGAACAAACACUUUCAUGGAUAAUUCCAUUUGAAAUAUCCACUUUCUAUUUCACUCACUAAUGUAAGAAACUAUACGAACACGACAUAUGUAAAAUAAUAAACCUUCAUUAUGGAUAUUUUCAUAACUAAUAGUGUUUCGUGUUCCACUUGUUUUCAGCUGUAGCUGAGUAAGACAUAUAUAACAAGCACCUGCAAUGGGUUCUGUUGAUUGGCUUAAGAAUGUAAUCAGUAUGAGAGAGGCAAAAGAUGGAUUAAAAAUUUCAGGUGUAUAUCAUCAAUAUCUUUGAAAUAGCAGUUAAAUCAAAUAAUUUCACUGGUGAGAUCCCACCAAUUCUUGGCAAUCUGUCAAAACUCUACUGGCUUGAUCUAGCAGAUAAUGUUAAACAGGAUCGAUUCCCAUUUCAACCUUCUGAAGAAAGCAUAACACUUGAUCAAUGCGGGACAUCAAAUUUGAAUAAUGGGGCAACAAUUCAACUUGACCGAGAUUGAAGUGAAUAAUGAAUUUUUGAAAUAUUUUGAUAUACGUUUAUAUACAUUUGGUUUUGUGUGGAACUUAAUACAAUUUUUUAUUAUGUUGUUUUCUUAUUAGUAUGUAAAUGACAUAUUUUUUUGAAAUCAAGUCAAUGCACUUCAAUUAUUUAUUAGGUUA